AAACCAACAGGGAUUGCCUCAGUAACGGCGAGUGAAGCGGCAAAAGCUCAAAUUUGAAAUCUGACCUUUGGUCCGAGUUGUAAUUUGUAGAGGAUGUUUCGGGCAAGAUCCGGGCUUAAGUUCCUUGGAACAGGACGUCAUAGAGGGUGAGAAUCCCGUACGUGGUCCAGGAUCGCGCCCAUGUGAAACUCCUUCGACGAGUCGAGUUGUUUGGGAAUGCAGCUCAAAAUGGGUGGUAAAUUUCAUCUAAAGCUAAAUAUUGGCCAGAGACCGAUAGCGCACAAGUAGAGUGAUCGAAAGAUGAAAAGCACUUUGAAAAGAGAGUUAAACAGCAUGUGAAAUUGUUGAAAGGGAAGCGCUUGUAACCAGACUUGUUUGUAGGGUUCAGCCGUCGUUCUCGUCGGUGUAUUUCCCUAUCUACAGGCCAGCAUCAGUUCGGACGGAAGGUUAAAGGCCUUGGGAAUGUAGCAUCUUCCGGGAUGUCUUAUAGCCCUCGGUGUAAUGCUUCCUGCCCGGACUGAGGAACGCGCUUCGGCUCGGAUGCUGGCGUAAUGGUUCUAAGCGACCCGUCUUGAAACACGGACCAAGGAGUCUAACAUCUAUGCGAGUAUUUGGGUGUCAAACCCAUAUGCGUAAUGAAAGUGAACGGAGGUGGGAGUCUUCGGACGCACCAUCGACCGAUCCUGAUGUCUUCGGAUGGAUUUGAGUAAGAGCAUAGCUGUUGGGACCCGAAAGAUGGUGAACUAUGCCUGAAUAGGGUGAAGCCAGAGGAAACUCUGGUGGAGGCUCGCAGCGGUUCUGACGUGCAAAUCGAUCGUCAAAUUUGGGCAUAGGGGCGAAAGACUAAUCGAACUAUCUG
rnacentral:rRNA from 1 species